CUAUGUCAAUGUGCAGCAGCUGAAGAUCUGGCUUGAAAAGAGGUCGACAUCUUUUUUUCCCCCUUUUGCUGAAUCCUUGUGUGAUGAGGUCUGCUCCUGCAGAAUGUGUUUUCCCCAACAAAGGAAAUCUAGCAGAUACGCAAAUGGUGCCUCAGCUUGCCAUAGAAAUGUCCUCCAGAGCACUGUGAGAUGACAAGGCUGUGGAGCACAGGAUGCUGCCAUCGUGCCAGAAGCAGCAGUACCUGCGGCAGCUGCUUUGCACGCCCCCCGCUGUGCAAAUCGCCCUUCACAGAGGCAGAUCUUCCUGUCAGUGACUGACGAGAGGUGCCAGGAGCAGGUUAGGAGACUUUUAAAACCCACGAGUUGGCAAAUCAGCAGAGCUUCUGCACAGUAAAUUUGUGUUCUGAAGGCUAAAAUUCCCUUUGCCUUGCUAUAAGGAUGAUGGAGAGUGAGAAGAAAAUGCUGGUUCUCACAGGUGACAAUGUUUCACUAAAUGGAAGAAAAACCUUCCCUACAAAAAGCUUGCUGAGAACUGUCCUCACUGUUGGAAUUAGUAAAAAUUUUGCUGUGCACCAAGCACAACCAAGUGGCACUUCAGUUAAGAACAGCUCUUAAAAAGUUUUAGGGAAGGACUUUUUUCAUAUGAGAUUAUAAGUACUAUGGAUAAGAAAAAGAUACUGAAUCUUAAAUGUCCAUGUACCCAAAAAAAAGUAGCAGAUUACAAUCUCCUGGACUUGAGCUGAUAGUACCCCGUUUUAGCGAACUCUGUCCAUGUGCAUUCUGUGAGAGGCAGGUGGUUGUAGCUGCAUGCCCCAGAAGAAAACGAAAUGUUGACCUCAAUAUCUUUGAGGCCUCCACGCUUCAUAACUGUAGUUUCUGCAGCACAGUCCAAAAUCUUUUUAUUCUGUAAUGAUUAUUUUAAUUCCAGUCCUUAACAUCUUCAAAAUUAUAUUUGAAAAAAAAUAAAAUACUGUAGCCUGCCUCUUGUACUUGCUUAUACUUGCAUAGAAAUCCAGUGAAGUGAAUGAAAAUGUCUAUUCAAAUGUAAUCUAGUGAAGGGAAUGUAAAUAUGCCUGUUUAUGUAAAGAUUGAAUCUGGUCCAGGAUGGGUGCUUUUCACAUAAAGAUAAAUCUUAGUAAAGGCAAGUAAGUUUUUAAUUUAAUAAUACUUUGUGUAAUUACUUCAAUAAUGCUGUUAUGUAAUUACUUCAUGUAAUGCAUGGUUUGAGUCACCAUACUUUCUCAGCAAACUGAAGAUAGAAAUGGGGGCUGCUUAGAUGGCUGGGAAUAGACUGUAUAAAUAAAAUAAUUCCUUCUGGGUUUUCUUUUGGA